rnacentral:lncRNA from 1 species
UAGAAUCGAGCACCUGGUCUUCCUGUGAUAUAUGUAUAUGUGUAUAUAACACCUCUGUACUUACCAUUGCCAGGGCGUAGUCAAAGGCUCCUGGACUUUACUAUAUACCUGCCAGGGCGUAGUCAAAGGCUCCUGGACUUCUCUAUACCUGCCAGGGCGUAGUCAAAGGCUCCUGGACUUCCUGUCUGGAACUAUUGGAUCAUUCAGCAUUU